AAAGACACUCAAGCAGCACUGUGAAGAGGCGCAGGUGGUAAAACUGAAGACCUUCACAAACAGCCAGCACUAAUUUGCCAACCAAAUGACGGUCUUUGGAAAACAGAUCCUCUGGCCUCAGGUUGGUGGCUGUGUUCGAUGGGUGUUGCUUGUGACAGUUGGGGUCCUCUUCAGCAUCAGUCUCGACAUGGCUGCAACUGGGGAGUCCUUGGGAUCCUCCCAGAAUCUCUUCCUCAGCAUCUGGCUCAUAAUAAGGUUUCAGGUGUCUUGAUGGUAUCCAAAUCGGCUGUUGAUUUUGGCCUGGAGAAACACAAGCAUAACCUCUACCCCAGGUGAAAAAUGAGAAGAUUAAAUAAGCCAUGGGAAGAUUUUUUAAAAUGACAUGAAACUCCAAGGGUAAAAAGUAGAUAGUGAGAUUGAGACUGACACCGAGCAUUGCCUGGGAAUCACAUAAGAUAAUGCAGGGCAAGGCUGCUGAGAGCAUUGAUCUCAGGGUGCUGCUCCCCAUUACCCACACUGCUGGA
rnacentral:lncRNA from 10 species